GUGAGUCAUCGAAUCUUUGAACGCACCUUGCACUGUAUGAGGAAUUGUACAGUAUGCCUGUUUGAGAAGCUGAAAAAAGAAGGUCCAUUCGUGGGAUUUGUCAUUGUUGCAAUGCGACUCUGACUAAAGCGAGUAUGGGGGAGGUCUGGAUAGCUUUUGGGCCUACUGUGUGUCAGGGCGCAAGCCAUGUCUCAGUGAGUUCCAUCGCGUCUCAAUCUUACUCCAAUCACAUCACUCAUCAAUUUGCUCUCAAAUCAGGUAGGACUACCCGCUGAACUUAAGCAUAUCAAUAAGCGGAGGA
rnacentral:misc_RNA from 1 species